rnacentral:rRNA from 1 species
CCCUUAGAUGUCCUGGGCCGCACGCGCGCUACACUGAGUGUCUGAGAUACGAGUCUGCCUGGUCCGGCAAGGUCUAGGUAAUCGCUAAAAGACACAUCAUGCUUGGGAUAGAUUAUUGCAAAUAUUAAUCUUGAACGAGGAAUUCCUAGUAAGCGCAAGUCAACAGCUUGCGUUGAUUACGUCCCUGCCCUUUGUACACACCGCCCGUCGCUACUACUGAUUGGAUGGUUAAGCGAGGUUCUCGAACUGCUAGCGACUUAGCUUCGGCGAGGUCGCAGUGUGGGAAGUGAACCUAGCUUUGGUGUCUAGAGGAAGUAAAAGUCGUAACA